CAGGUUCACUGUACUGAGGUUUGACGGUAUAUGUGUUAAAACAAAAUUACAGGAAAAUGAGAAUAAAAGUGUGUGUGAUUAGAAAGUACCCCCCCUCCCCCUGUGCCUCAUCUUAGAGAUUUUUUUUUCUCUAUAUAAUGUCACCAAAAUGUAUUUUUUGUUUCCUAAAUAAAAUUCGAAGUUGUGUUCAUCAUUGAAUACCUUUUCAAAGGUAUAAAUUUUGAAACCUUUAUAUUAAUUACCUCUCAGAAAUUCAGUAUUUUGACAAAUGUAAAAGCAAAGUAUUAAUUAACCUGUUCUAUUUGAUGUGAUAGGCAUUACGAGAGGCUCAUGCAAAGUUCCAAGCAUCUUUGAGCUCUGCACAAGCCGAUUUUGAAGUAUUAGCAGCUCUGGAUCAGCAGAUAAAGUCCUUCAAUGUCGGGGGUAAUCCUUAUACUUGGUUCACUAUGGAAGCAUUAGAGGAUACUUGGCGCAAUCUUCAAAAGAUCAUACAAGAAAGAGAUGUAGAGCUUGUUAAAGAAGACCAAA